GGGCUCGUAGCUCAGCUGGUAGAGCGCCACAUUCGCAAUGUGGAGGCCCCGGGUUCAAAUCCCGGCGAGUCCA
rnacentral:tRNA from 1 species